rnacentral:rRNA from 1 species
AACGAACGCUGGCGGCAGGCUUAACACGUGCAAGUCGAGCGCCCCGCAAGGGGAGCGGCAGACGGGUGAGUAACGCGUGGGAAUCUACCCAUCACUACGGAACAACUCCGGGAAACUGGAGCUAAUACCGUAUACGUCCUUCGGGAGAAAGAUUUAUCGGUGAUGGAUGAGCCCGCGUUGGAUUAGCUAGUUGGUGGGGUAAUGGCCUACCAAGGCGACGAUCCAUAGCUGGUCUGAGAGGAUGAUCAGCCACACUGGGACUGAGACACGGCCCAGACUCCUACGGGAGGCAGCAGUGGGGAAUAUUGGACAAUGGGCGAAAGCCUGAUCCAGCCAUGCCGCGUGAGUGAUGAAGGCCCUAGGGUUGUAAAGCUCUUUCAACGGUGAAGAUAAUGACUGUAGCCGGAGAAGAAGCCCCGGCUAACUUCGUGCCAGCAGCCGCGGUAAUAC